AAGUCGUAACAAGGUAACCGUAGGUGAACCUGCGGUUGGAUCAUUACUGAUUACCAGCUCUAUGGGUUGAUUCGCAAGAGUCCCCGUAGGGUUGAUCAACCCUUUGUGCACUGUAUUGUUUUUGGGUUUCCUACAUAGGUGGGCGUUUAUCUUUAUUCACGCCCAACUGGAGGCCCAGCAUUUAUACAAACCAUACCAAUUUUGACUUAAUCUAUGAAAAUAGAAACAACUUUUGACAACGGAUCUCUUGGCUCUC
rnacentral:misc_RNA from 1 species